GAUGAACGCUGGCGGCGUGCCUAAUACAUGCAAGUCGAGCGAACGGACGAGAAGCUUGCUUCUCUGAUGUUAGCGGCGGACGGGUGAGUAACACGUGGAUAACCUACCUAUAAGACUGGGAUAACUUCGGGAAACCGGAGCUAAUACCGGAUAAUAUUUUGAACCGCAUGGUUCAAAAGUGAAAGACGGUCUUGCUGUCACUUAUAGAUGGAUCCGCGCUGCAUUAGCUAGUUGGUAAGGUAACGGCUUACCAAGGCAACGAUGCAUAGCCGACCUGAGAGGGUGAUCGGCCACACGGGAACUGAGACACGGCCCAGACUCCUACGGGAGGCAGCAGUAGGGAAUCUUCCGCAAUGGUCGAAAGCCUGACGGAGCAACGCCGCGUGAGUGAUGAAGGUCUUCGGAGCGUAAAACUCUGUUAUGAGGGAAGAACAGAUGUGUAAGUAACUGUGCACAUCUUGACGGUACCUAAUCAGAAAGCCACGGCUAACUACGUG
rnacentral:rRNA from 1 species